CUAUAUAUUUUGCGUCGCUGCUCUAUGACGUCCUCCGUGAAGGCGAUUCCGUAGUGAGUGAUUACUCUCUUCGAAAUGAGGGCUAAGUGGAGGAAGAAGCGCAUGCGCAGGCUGAAGCGUAAAAGGAGAAAGAUGAGGCAGAGGUCCAAGUAAACUAUCUCCGUCAUGGCUGUGAUGUCACAUUUUGUCAACGACAGACCAGUGAGCACAGCCGGAGACCCAGGACUCUCCCGGUGUUGAGUCUGAGACCAGUGGCGUCCAAAUCAACCAGAGACAGCGGCGUGGCAGCUUUGUGAUGCCCAGGGGCUGAUUGAAGACCUGCUGGAUGAUGGCCAUGUUCUCUGGGAUUUUCUGGACUGUUUGUACUUAAUUCCUCAACUUUUGUCAUUCGUUUUUGUUUAUACUGUGAUUAAAGUUUUUGGUUUUAAAUA